rnacentral:lncRNA from 1 species
UUUGUUAUCGCAAGGCUCGGAUCGAAAUCGAUUUGAAAAGUGUUUCUGUAACUCAGGGCCUGUGCCAAUUGAUAGAAAAGUUCUCUGGAUAAUAAAUUUUUGACAGCUAUGAGGUGAAUAAAAAUGUUUGAUACGGCAGGGCUAGUGAAAAAUUUGAAAGCAAGCAUUAUCAAGAAGAAGAACGAACAACGCACGUAUACACAUAAAUUAAAGAAAAAAAAAGCGAGUGGAAAUAAAAGAACAUGGUCCCGCCGGCAAAAAAAAUAAAGAAAAGCUAUAUAACUUGGAGCAGUUCAGAACGCAGAAUCCUUCUGGAAAAGCGCAUUGACAAGGAUGUUUGGUUCAGUUCAAAGAACGCCAACAGCAACGAAGGCUGGAAGUGAGUAAGAAUAUAAAUAAUUUGAAGACUUUAUUAAGCAAAUGACUUCGUACUCCACUGACCAUCCGUGGCGCUUUUUGGGAAUGUGAGUUACAAUUUUUCGAAACGAAGCAGAGGACAACCUAAGAUACAUUUUUGUAGUGUUGUUAUCGCCGUUCAUAAUGCUGCUUAGUAUUUUGGAAUAAACGUCUUGUUGCAUGUACAUAAUACCCUAAAACGACAUAUGUUUUUAUUGGAAACAAUUGUACACGGUUUUAAACAUUUUUGUGAACACACUUACCAGACGGUUUUGACGUGUUUUUAUUUCUAAUAUUACUGCUAAAAGGUCUAAUAAAUGCAUGGAUUUCAGUUCCAGAAGAAUUGAAAUCAUCAAAGGCAAAUAUUUUCUAUAUAA